CGUACGAAACGGCAAAACCAUUGAAAAAUGGUGACGCAAAACUAUAGGGGCUAAUGUUUUUCAAAAACGAAGCCAGCCAGUUACCGAA
rnacentral:ncRNA from 1 species